UGAAACGUAGAAACCCUGGUUGGGUUGAGAGUUGAAUAAUAAAAAAAAAUGGUAUGCUUUGUAUGUGAACUAUUAUAAAUUGUUAAUAUUAAAAAAUAUUGACAACAAAUUAAUUAAUAAUUGGUAAACAAAAAUAGUUUAAAAUGGCAGUUCGAUUAUUGAAAGAUCCAUCGACUGCAAACUGUCGGGUGUUCGUUGGUCACCUGCAGACAGAGGAUAUGAAUAAAAUGGAAUUCGAGCAGCACUUUUCAAAAUACGGGACAGUAAUCGGGUCAUUGAUAAAUCGCGGCUUUGGAUUUAUUCAGUAUGAGAAUGAAAAAGCAGCACAAGCUGCCAUUCAGAGUGAGAAUGGGCAAAUGUUUAAAGGAAGAAGAAUUGAUGUAAAGCCUGCCAAGAAGGAUACUCAUGGUGGCGGUGGCGGUGGAGGUGGUGGUGGUGGUGGUGGUGAUCAGAAGAACAAUCAAUUUUCACCUCGCAGCGGAGGCAACCAGAGCUUCAAUCAGAAAAACACGAGCUUCAAUAACUCAAAUUGCGAUGACUCCUUUGACGAUAAUGAUAACAAUAAAAAUUCGGGCAAUCCCUCCGGUCACGAUGGAUUUAAUUCAAAUGACAACAAUAAUUCUAACCGUGAUGACGAUGGUAAUGAUUACCAGCAGUUUAAUUCAAACCAGAAUGAUUCUUUCAAUAACAGUAACAAUGGAGGAGGUGGCGGUAAUAACCAAGGAAAAGACAAUAAAGAUCAGUUCAAUUCACCAGGUAAUCAGAAUAAGAACAAUAAUACGAAUCGUAUGGAUGAUGAUAAUAGCAAUGCAUCGUCUGGUUCACAAAAUAAUCGUAGUGGAGGUAAUCAAAACCGGUCUGGAAAUAAUAAUCGUAAUCAAGGAUCAAAUAAUCAAAGACAACGUGGAAAUCGUGGCGGUAAAAACAGAAACAAAAAUCGAUCGGGUGGUGGAGAUAAUUCUGGAAAUUUCCGUGAUCGCAGUCCAUUAAACCGCGGGCCGAUGAAUCGCGGUCCCGGUGGCCCAGGGAAUGACGAUAAAAAUAAUCGUGAUUGGGGUGAUCACAAUAUGAUGCGCAAUAAUUUUAACAGAGACACUUUUAAUGACAACAAUCGAUUUGAUGACCGGUUUAAAGACCCAAUGGGCAUGGGAAAUAAUUUAGGUGGAGGUCCAGGUCUUAUGGGAGGUAUGGGAGGACCUGGGCUCGGUGGUCUUGGUGGACCAGGUCUUGGCGGUCCUGGUCUCGGUGGUCCAGGUCAUGGUGGUCCGGGUCUUGGUGGCCCUGGGCCCGGUAAUUUUGGUAGAAUGGGUGGACCAAAUGAUUUUCCAAUGCCAGCAGCAGCUCCCGCCGUUGAUAAAAAUGAUUGUGAGAUUAUUGUAGUCCACAAAAAUUUAACUGAGUACGCAGAAGCUAUCGAAGCGCGUCUCAAAAAAAUGGGACUGACUGUUGAUCUGUUGUUUCCCAAUGAAGAAGUCCCGCUGAGUCGUGUGUUGGGUAACAUCGCCAACCGGGGAUGUCUUUAUGCUGUUGUUAUUAUGCCGAUCAAUAUGGAACAUCAUUCAUUGACUCUAAAUAUUCUUCAUGGACUACCUCAAGAGCACAGAAAUAUGCCAGCAGAUGACGCACUGGCAUUAAUAAACCGCGACUUUAGUAAUUAUAAAUCAGGAGGUCGGGGGGUGCCAUUUAAUACACCAUUUGCUACUGACAGACAUCCAGAUGCCAUCCAAGUCUUGCUGAACAUGCUAGCAGACAAUCAUCAGCUGACUGUACUACAGUACGAACGCGUUAUCAAAUACUUGGAAGUAAAACGCGAAGAGCAAGUACAGGUUGAGUUGGGCGAUGCCAAAGAUUUGGCGGGAGCUUCUCUGGCUAAUGAUCCGAAACAAGCUGAGCUGCAGUCCAGAAUCUUAAACAUUUUAAACAGUAAUAAAUCAAACGCUCCAGUACCAAGUCCUGUGCCUGCUCCUGCACCAGUACCAGCGCCGCUUUUGCCACCAGCAAACAUGAAAAAUUGGCGUAACUGCGGCAUCCAACAAAGCAAAAGAAAAAGAAAAUACAAUAAAUAUAAUCAUUAAGCCCAUAAGCGUUAAAAAAGCAACCGAUCAACGAGUUUCUUAUUCCGCUUAAUGGAGCCCAGAUGCUUAUCAAGAAUAACUUUGUAAGUCGGCCAGUCGUUGACACAAGCCGGACACUGGCAGUCAAAAAAGUAUUCCUCCAUCAGUUUGUCUUUGCGCUCAGCAAGACCCAGAUGUUACCGUUACCAUCAGACGUAUUAUUUUCAUAACCAUCCGUAUUUUAUCUUCAUCGACAUUCAAGAGAUUCAGGAGAACACUCA